GAUGCUCGGCUCUGCUGCCUGGAGACACAAACACAAGAGGAGAUGCAGAGCAGGAGGUUCAGACGGAGCGAGUCGUCGUCUCCGGAUCAUUAUGACAGCACGCUCAUUUUAAACAACUGGACAGUCCAACUCAGUCCAGUUCUCCUGUUCAGUCAAUGGUUCUCCCUCUGCAGGAAUGUGGAUCUCCUCCCUGGAUGAAGGAGAUCUUCAUCCUCGUCAUCAUUUACAAAAAUGUUUGUUUGUGUGUCGUUGUUGUUCAUUAAACCGUGUUUGUUUUGCUACUUGACAUAAACACAAACAAACAAACA